UUAUCUGGUAAUGAUGUUUUCACUUCAUCAAAAUUUUAAACAUUAACAACUAGGCUGAUAACAAUAAUUGAAAUGUAAAUCAGAAUAAAUUAAAUUCAUUUGAAGUAAAAUAAGUUCCAUUAUACUCUAUUUUGACCAAAUGAUCAACACUUGUACAUAGUGCCAUUUACUUUGUGUUCUUCACUCUCGCGCUGUGUUGUGAUCGUUCGAAACUCAUUGCCAGAACGAAUGCAAAUUUCAUUUGGGAAGGAUUGGUGCUGGAAGAUGCAGCGAAAAUCAUUAAAUGUUAAUAGAAAAGUGGUUAAGUUAAUCGUGAAAGAUGUCAACGCAGGCGUAACUGCAGUUUGUUUUGUUACAUGAUCUACGGCUACUUCAUUGCCAAAGCUCCUGAUAACAGAUCAAAGCAGAUGGAUCGGGCAUACAGAGUCGCCAUUUAACAUUAAAUAUCUUCUUGAUCGGAAUACGCAUCAAGUGUUUUUCUUCCAACAGCACGCGCCAUCGAUGGAGCAAGCAGCCAACGUUUACACGUUCCAGCCAAAACCAAAACAAACCGUGCCGCAUCUGUCGUGUGUUUUCGAAGACGACAAUUGUGAAAUUGAAAUGGACAGUGUACCAAAAACGGCUUGACUUGUUUGUAAGUGGUAGACAAUCGUGUUUUACAAAUUGAAGAUUGCUAGUAGACUGUGGACAGUUGUUAAUUGGAAUGGAAAACCCUGUAUGCUGUCGAGUUGAGCUUUUGAAUAUUAAGGUCGAUACAUAACUCCUCAAA